GUGCUUGCUUUGGCAGCAUAUAUACUAAGAUUGGAAUGAUACGGAGAUUAGCAUGGCCCCUGUGCAUGGAUAACAUGUAAGUUCGUGAAGCAUUCCAUAUUUUC
ensembl:snRNA Rnu6-259 RNA, U6 small nuclear 259